rnacentral:rRNA from 1 species
GACGAACGCUGGCGGCGUGCCUAAUACAUGCGAGUAGAACGCUGAAGGAGGAGCUUGCUUCUCUGGAUGAGUUGCGAACGGGUGAGUAACGCGUAGGUAACCUGCCUGGUAGCGGGGGAUAACUAUUGGAAACGAUAGCUAAUACCGCAUAAUAUUGACUAUUGCAUGAUAGUCAGUUGAAAGGUGCAACUGCACCACUACCAGAUGGACCUGCGUUGUAUUAGCUAGUUGGUGGGGUAACGGCUCACCAAGGCGACGAUACAUAGCCGACCUGAGAGGGUGAUCGGCCACACUGGGACUGAGACACGGCCCAGACUCCUACGGGAGGCAGCAGUAGGGAAUCUUCGGCAAUGGACGGAAGUCUGACCGAGCAACGCCGCGUGAGUGAAGAAGGUUUUCGGAUCGUAAAGCUCUGUUGUAAGAGAAGAACGAGUGUGAGAGUGGAAAGCUCACACUGUGACGGUAUCUUACCAGAAAGGGACGGCUAACUACGUG